rnacentral:rRNA from 1 species
CACACCGCCCGUCACACCAUGGGAGUCUACUGCACCAGAAGUAGUUAGCUUAACCGCAAGGGGGGCGAUUACCACGGUGAGCUUCAUGACUGGGGUG